rnacentral:rRNA from 1 species
CAGUAGUCACGUAGUUGAUCAUGGCUCAGAACGAACGCUGGCGGCAUGCCUAACACAUGCAAGUCGAACGAGACCUUCGGGUCUAGUGGCGCACGGGUGCGUAACGCGUGGGAAUCUGCCCUUUGCUUCGGGAAUAACAGUUAGAAAUGACUGCUAAUACCGGAUGAUGUCUUCGGACCAAAGAUUUAUCGCCUUUAGAUGGGCCCGCGUAAGAUUAGCUAGUUGGUGGGGUAAAGGCCUACCAAGGCGACGAUCUUUAGCUGGUCUGAGAGGAUGAUCAGCCACACUGGGACUGAGACACGGCCCAGACUCCUACGGGAGGCAGCAGUGGGGAAUAUUGGACAAUGGGCGAAAGCCUGAUCCAGCAAUGCCGCGUGAGUGAUGAAGGCCUUAGGGUUGUAAAGCUCUUUUACCCGAGAUGAUAAUGACAGUAUCGGGAGAAUAAGCUCCGGCUAACUCCGUG